AGUGAACGCUGGCGGUAGGCCUAACACAUGCAAGUCGAACGGCAGCACAGUAAGAGCUUGCUCUUACGGGUGGCGAGUGGCGGACGGGCGAGGAAUACAUCGGAAUCUACUUUUUCGCGGGGGAUAACGUAGGGAAACUUACGCUAAUACCGCAUACGACCUACGGGUGAAAGCAGGGGAUCUUCGGACCUUGCGCGAUUGAAUGAGCCGAUGUCGGAUUAGCUAGUUGGCGGGGUAAAGGCCCACCAAGGCGACGAUCCGUAGCUGGUCUGAGAGGAUGAUCAGCCACACUGGAACUGAGACACGGUCCAGACUCCUACGGGAGGCAGCAGUGGGGAAUAUUGGACAAUGGGCGCAAGCCUGAUCCAGCCAUACCGCGUGGGUGAAGAAGGCCUUCGGGUUGUAAAGCCCUUUUGUUGGGAAAGAAAAGCAGCAGGUUAAUACCCCGCUGUUCUGACGGUACCCAAAGAAUAAGCACCGGCUAACUUCGUG
rnacentral:rRNA from 1 species